rnacentral:rRNA from 1 species
CUACGGGAUGCAGCAGUGGGGAAUAUUGCACAAUGGAGGAAACUCUGAUGCAGCAACGCCGCGUGGAGGAUGACACUUUUCGGAGCGUAAACUCCUUUUAUAUAGGAAGAAGAUGACGGUACUAUAUGAAUAAGCGCCGGCUAACUCCGUGCCAGCAGCCGCGGUAAUACGGAGGGCGCAAGCGUUACUCGGAAUCACUGGGCGUAAAGAGCGUGUAGGCGGAUUAAAAAGUCAGAAGUGAAAUCCUAUAGCUUAACUAUAGAACUGCUUCUGAAACUCUUAAUCUAGAAUAUGGGAGAGGUAGAUGGAAUUUCCGGUGUAGGGGUAAAAUCCGUAGAGAUCAGAAGGAAUACCGAUUGCGAAGGCGAUCUACUAGAACAUUAUUGACGCUGAGACGCGAGAGCGUGGGGAGCAAACAGGAUUAGAUACCCUCGUAGUC